rnacentral:lncRNA from 1 species
GCGACCUUACGGUGGCCGAGAAAGCCCAACGCUGUGCAAAUUGAAAAGCAAAAAGCAGAAAAUACAUCCAUCAAAAUCACUGCAAAUCGAGAAACGCGCUUCAAAUACAACCACAACACAACGGAAUUUUCCCGGGGGACCUUAAAAGAUGCUGUACCAUCUAAACUACGUCUUCAGUAGCGUCUCGGACUUCACUGUGUGUACAGAGGACUAUAAAUGGCAAACAAGCUUCUGAAAAGUCAUGUUUUGCCCAUUUUGUGGAAAUGCUUUGGAGGAUAUUGGGACAUUCUGUCUGUCCUGUGGUGGGAAUAUUCCAUUUUUAAGAAAUGUUCAAAAUGGUAAGUUUUCUUUGUAACAUAUGUUUUAAUAUAAUUUCCACAUUUUAUUGAUUGAUGUAGUCCAAAUUGCUAGCAACCAUACGUUUUAUCCCCUCACCCAAAAUACCUCAGGUGUGGUCAGUGAAUAUUAGUCUCAUUUCUAAACAACAGUACUAAUUUCCCAUGUAACGGGUAUAUCAAUUUGUGACAUAUUUCU